rnacentral:rRNA from 1 species
GACGAACCGUGCGAACGUUGUUCGGAUUCACUGGGCUUAAAGGGCGCGUAGGCGGGUUGUCAAGUCAGGGGUGAAAUCUUUCGGCUCAACCGGAAAACAGCUUCUGAUACUGGCAGCCUGGAGGGAGGUAGGGGCAGAUGGAACUUCCGGUGGAGCGGUGAAAUGCGUAGAUAUCGGAAGGAACGCCGGUGGCGAAAGCGAUCUGCUGGACCUCUUCUGACGCUGAUGCGCGAAAGCCAGGGGAGCAAACGGG